UGGGGAAUUUUGCACAAUGGGGGAUACCCUGAUGCAGCGACGCCGCGUGAUUUAGAAGGCCUUCGGGUUGUAAAAAUCUUUUCUAUGGGAAGAAAAUGACAGUACCAUAGGAAUAAGGACCGGCUAAUUACGUGCCAGCAGCCGCGGUAAUACGUAAGGUCCGAGCGUUGUCCGGAAUCAUUGGGCGUAAAGGGUACGUAGGCGGGUAAGCAAGUUAGAAGUGAAAUCCUAUAGCUCAACUAUAGUAAGCUUUUAAAACUGCUCAUCUUGAGGUAUGGAAGGGAAAGUGGAAUUCCAAGUGUAGCGGUGAAAUGCGCAGAUAUUAGGAGGAAUACCGGUGGCGAAGGCGACUUUCUGGCCAUAACCUGACGCUGAGGUACGAAAGCGUGGGUAGCAAACAGG
rnacentral:rRNA from 1 species